UGUGUCACUGACGUUUCCAGCAGAAGCAUCGGGACAGAGUGCAAUCCAAUGCUGCAUGAGAUAUAUGAGUAUUUUAUUACAUACUCCUCCUCCAUCAUCUUCCUGUCUUCCCUACAGGGCUUUCCACACAAACCCUCAGUGAUUAAAAGCAUGUUGUGUGUGUUUGAAUGAGUGUUUGACUCUCCCUGUGAGUCUCCACUCAAGCUCUGCACAUGAAUGAGGAUCUACAGAAACUCUCAACAUUGUCAUUCCCGUCAGCAGCUGUUUCUCUCCACGAGCAGCAGCUGCAUUAAGCAGGUCAACAGCACAAUCCCUGGGUGAGCGCUCUCUAAACUGUCUUAACCACGUCUUCCCUCCAGAGAGAGGAGACCUUCAGAGCCGCAGUAAAAGCCAUAGACCUCCGUAUCCGCGAGUCUCUCCCUCAGGACGGAACAAUGUCACAAACUCUGGCAUUUUUAUAAUCAAUUUAGAGUCUGGGCUGUGAGAGCUGCCGGCUUCUCCGUGCUGCUAAUCCCAAAGUGACUUUUAAGACUGCACUGUGAAGAGGAUAAUCAAUUUUAUACAGCCGUCCACCCGGAGCACGAGUCCUCAGAACGACACGCGAGGAUACUGAAGAGCACAGUGAACAAUAUACAGUGUGAAGACAUAGAUGGUCAUUAGUAUGCAUGCUGUGAGCAUUUCACUAACCGGCAUUGAUCAGCAGAACCUCAGGGGCAUCAGACAUCUAUUUCACAAUAUCCCAGAUAUUUCUGAGAGAUUACUGGAGUAACAAGGAGGCAGCGUUAUUCUGUGAUAUCACUUUAUAACUUCAGACAACACACACCAGACUCUUAUUCAGUUCUGAUUAAAUCAGCGUUUUGAACAAAUCAGUUGAGUAGAUGAUUCAAUGACUCACUUAGAAAGACAGCGAUUGUGUUCCAAUACUCACACUUAUCUUUUCACUUGAGCACUUGUCUACUUAUUUACUACUCAGUUUUGUUUAUGGCCACUAGUGGCUGCAGAAAAACAACGUAUAAUGAAAAUGAUGAAUACAAAUUUUAAAGAAAUAGUUCACUCAGAAAUGAAAACUAGCUAACCGUCCGAGAUCAGGAUGAGUUUGUUUCUUCAUCAGAUUUGUAGAAAUGUAGCACUGCAUCAGUGUCUCAUCAAUGGAUGCUCU
ensembl:lncRNA